rnacentral:rRNA from 1 species
UACGUAGGGUCCGAGCGUUGUCCGGAAUUACUGGGCGUAAAGAGCUCGUAGGUGGUUUGUCGCGUUGUUCGUGAAAACUCACAGCUUAACUGUGGGCGUGCGGGCGAUACGGGCAGACUUGAGUACUGCAGGGGAGACUGGAAUUCCUGGUGUAGCGGUGGAAUGCGCAGAUAUCAGGAGGAACACCGGUGGCGAAGGCGGGUCUCUGGGCAGUAACUGACGCUGAGGAGCGAAAGCGUGGGGAGCGAUCCGG